AAAAAUAUGGUGUAAAAUUAAAUAAAUAAAAUUAAUAAACUUUUUUUUUUAAGUUAAAUGUUUAAAUAUGGGUAUGGAUCUCAGUAUCUCAAAGUCGGUAACUAAACAGAGGGUGAAGGGAGGGAGGCAGAUCAUCGACCCAUCGAGAAGGGAGGCAGAGCAUGGCAUACAUGAUCAGAUCUAAGCCUGCCUGAGUCGCCGCCAGUCACCCUUGAUCGCCGCCCUGAGUCUCCCCCACCAGAACAGUCAGCUUCACUGCUCCAGUCGCCGCCCCACCAGCCCACCAGCGCCAGGAAACCCGUGUUCGAUUUCUAAGAAUUGCGGAAACGGCCCGGAGACGUUUCCUGGCCGGCCGUGUCCUUACGUUUCCGGCGAGGAAACGUUACCUGAACUGGGAAGCGCGGGCUCCUCCCGUUUCCGUGCAUCAUAGAUCACCAGCUCCAUCAAGCCAAAUUGGUUUUCACAAAGUUAAAGACCGAAGCAAAGAUGAUGGUAGCCAGGACAAGGGUUAAAUUAACUACUAGUAGUAGGUUUCAAAAGUUUAAAGAACCUAGACACUAAUAUCAGUAAAUUGUGGAUCCUUAUGUGCU